rnacentral:rRNA from 1 species
UUAAGCUAAUAAGAGCGCAGGGAGGAUGCCUUGGCAUCAGGAGCCGAUGAAGGACGCGGUAAGCUGCGAAAAGCUCCGGGGAGUGGCAAGCACACAUUGAUCCGGAGAUGUCCGAAUGGAGCAAUCCACAUGAGUGAAGCUCAUGUAUCAUAUACUGAAUAAAUAGGUAUAUGAGGGGAACCGUCUGAACUGAAACAUCUAAGUAGGACGAGGAAAAGAAAUCAACCGAGAUUCCGCUAGUAGUGGCGAGCGAACGCGGAAGAGGCUAAACCAGAGUCAGCAAUGACUUUGGGGUUUGGACUGCAUUUAGUAUCAAUGAGGUCUAGUCGAAGUACAUGGGAAGGUACAUCGAAGAGGGUGAGAAUCCCGUAGACGAAAGAUCAAGUUGGCGAGCAGUAUCCAGAGUACCGCCGGACACGUGAAACCCGGUGGGAACAUGGGGGGACCAUCCUCCAAGCCUAAAUACUACCUGAUGACCGAUAGCGCAUAGUACUGUGAAGGAAAGGUGAAAAGAACCCCGGGAGGGGAGUGAAAGAGAGCCUGAAACCCUGUGCUUACAAGCACACAGAGCACGUCAAAGUGUGAUGUGGUACCUAUUGUAGAAUGGUCCGGCGAGUUAUUUUAUGCAGCGAGGUUAAGGACUUAAGGUCUGUAGCCGAAGUGAAAGCGAGUGUUAAUAGCACGAAACAGUUGCAUGCAAUAGACCCGAAACCGGGUGACCUAUCCAUGUCCAGGCUGAAGUGAGGGUAAAACCUCAUGGAGGGCCGAACCGACUCCCGUUGAAAUGGUAGCGGAUGAGGUGUGGAUAGCGGAGAAAUUCCAAUCGAACCCGGAUAUAGCUGGUUCUCCCCGAAACCGUUUUAGGACGGGCCUCGUGUGAAGAUUAUCGGAGGUAAAGCACUGAAUAGCCUAGGGGGCGAGAGCCUACCGAAGCUUAUCAAACUCUGAAUGCCGAAUAAUCGUUUCACGGGAGUCAGACUGUGUGAGAUAAGUUUCAUAGUCAAAAGGGAAACAGCCCAGACCCACAGCUAAGGUCCCAAAGUGUAUUUAAGUGGAAAACGAUGUGAAGUUGCGUAGACAACCAGGAUGUUGGCUUAGAAGCAGCCACUCAUUAAAAGAGUGCGUAAUAGCUCACUGGUCGAGUGACUUUGCGCGGAAAAUUUAACGGGGCUAAAAUACACACCGAAGCUUGGGCUUGACGCUUUUGCGUCAGGGGUAGGGGAGCGUCGUGUAAGGGGCGAAGUCGUAUCGUAAGGGACGGUGGACUUUACACGAGUGAGAAUGCCGGAAUGAGUAGCGAGAAUUAUGUGAGAAUCAUAAUGGUCGAAAGCCUAAGGUUUUUGGAGGAAGGUUCGUCCGCUCCAAGUAAGCCGGGAGCUAAGGUCAGGCGGAAACGCGUAGCCGAUGCACAUACGGUUGAAAUUCCGUAGCCUCAGAAAGAUUUAAGCGAAGGGACACUUUGAAAGGACUGUUGCCGGGUGUUGGUUACCCCGGUCGUAAGGGAACGAAAUUAAGUAGUGAAGGCAGUCUGGACGGAGGCGAGAAAAGCUUCGUGUAUAUCUUAUGAGCCCGUACCGCAAACCGACACAGGUAGGUGGGAUGAGAAUUCUAAGACCAACGGGAGAAGGGUAGUUAAGGAACUCGGCAAAUUGUCCCCGUAACUUCGGAAUAAGGGGAGCCUGCGAAAGCAGGCCGCAGAGAAUUGGCCCAGGCGACUGUUUAUCAAAAACACAGCUCUAUGCUAAAUCGAAAGAUGACGUAUAUGGGGUGACACCUGCCCGGUGCUGGAAGGUUAAGAGGAGAUGUGAGAGCAUCGAAUUGAAGCCCCAGUAAACGGCGGCCGUAACUAUAACGGUCCUAAGGUAGCGAAAUUCCUUGUCAGGUAAGUUCUGACCCGCACGAAUGGUGUAACGAUUUGGGCACUGUCUCAACAACCCGCCCGGCGAAAUUGUAGUACCGGUGAAGAUGCCGGUUACCCGCGACUAGACGGAAAGACCCCAUGGAGCUUUACUGUAGCUUAAUAUUGGAUUUCGGCAGUUCAUGUACAGGAUAGGUGGGAGACUAUGAAACACGGGCGUCAGCUUGUGCGGAGUCGUCCUUGGGAUACCACUCUUGGAUUGCUGGAAUUCUAACCUGCGGCCCUGAAUCGGGUCGGGGGACAUUGUUAGGUGGGCAGUUUGACUGGGGCGGUCGCCUCCAAAAGAGUAACGGAGGCGCUCAAAGGUUGGCUCAGCAUGGACGGAAACCAUGCUCUUGAGUGUAAACGCAAAAGCCAGCCUAACUGCGAGACUGACGGGUCGAGCAGUAACGAAAGUUGGAGUUAGUGAUCCGGCGGUAUGUGAAUGGAAAUGCCGUCGCUCAACGGAUAAAAGCUACCCUGGGGAUAACAGGCUGAUCUCCCCCAAGCGUCCACAGCGACGGGGAGGUUUGGCACCUCGAUGUCGGCUCGUCACAUCCUGGGGCUGAAUUCGGUCCCAAGGGUUCGGCUGUUCGCCGAUUAAAGUGGCACGCGAGCUGGGUUCAGAACGUCGUGAGACAGUUCGGUCCCUAUCUGUCGUGGGCGUAGGAUAUUUGAAAGGCGCUGUCCCUAGUACGAGAGGACCGGGAUGGACGCACCUCUGGUGCACCAGUUGUCACGCCAGUGGCACAGCUGGGCAGCUAAGUGCGGAUCGGAUAAACGCUGAAAGCAUCUAAGCGUGAAGCCGUCCUUAAGAUAAGAUAUCCCAUGCGUAAGCAGUAAGACCCCUUGUAGACUACGAGGUUGAUAGGUUCAAGGUGUAAGCACGGUAACGUGUUCAGCCAGCGAAUACUAAUCGGUCGAGGGCUUAAACC